AUUGAACGCUGGCGGCAGGCAUAACACAUUCAAGUCGAGCGAGCGGCGGACGGGUGAGGAAUGGAUGGGGACUGCCUGAUGGAUGGGGAUAAUUACUGGACACGGUGGCUAAUACCGCAUACUAUCGGAUAACCCAUAUGGGAUUAGCUAGUAGGUGGGGUAAAGGCUCACCUAGGCGACGAUCUCUUGCUGGUCUGAGAGGAUGAUCAGCCACACUGGGACUGAGACACGGCCCAGACUCCUACGGAGGCAGCAGUGGGGAAUAUUGCACAAUGGGCGCAAGCCUGAUGCAGCCAUGCCGCGUGUAUGAAGAAGGCCUUAGGGUUGUAAAGUACUUUCAGCCGGGAGGCGUUACCCGCAGAAGAAGCACCGGCUAACUCCGUGCCAGCAGCCGCGGUAAUUC
rnacentral:rRNA from 1 species